UUUUUGUUGCUGGCGUCAGGAGGCUGGCUGUUGAAUGGGUUGCGCCUCGGCAGAAGUUUGUCCCGGGUCACCGGCGGCCAGUAGUUUGUGAAAGCGGCGGGGGCGGGACCGGAGGCAGCCUGAAGCCCUGAGGACGCGGUGACACACGCCGAAUUAGUCUCCUGUUGAACCACCCAUGUGACUAGGAGUGUCCACAUCCCACGUCGGCAGUGGUACCCUGCACACCUUCAGGGGAUUAAUGAAAUCACAUCAGCUGCAAGACCCAACACCAGACUGUACCCAGUAAAACUCCAUGGUUUAACAUGACUGGCACUUCCUGUUUCCUCAUCUGCAAAAUGAGAACACUAAUACUGACCCUGUCUGUAGCAGCCAUGGUGUUUUAAGAGGACAGGUGACCAUGUCCAUGGAAGUUUCAUAAACGGUGAAAUUCUAUACAAAUGGAGAGCACCAAGAAGUCCUAGAAGAAAAUACUUUCUGCAGACUGAUUUUGGAGCUGGAAAGUUUGAGAGAUCUGCAGCCUCACUCUGGGAGUAAAAUGACACUUCUCUGCGAGAGUCACAUCCAGUUCGAAGGCACAGACACCAGCUCACCACGCAGCAGCUACUCUCCACGUGGGGGUUCAUUAAAGGAGAGAGCGUCUGAAUUCAUGUCCCUCUUUUUUCCUGAGUCUUUGAACUAACAUUUUAGAUUAGUUCUUGUGCCUUUAUAUGAGACAACUGUUUUCCUCAGAAGACGUUUUGAGUUCAGUCAGAUUUUCCAAAACUCAGGGUUGAAAUUAUGGUACUGUAUCAUGCUCCCAUGGACUCUUAUUUCCUUUUCAUUCCACUUUCUUUAAAUCAAAUCCUUUGAAGUCAAUAAGUGUGUUUCUUAAAGCUCUGCUUGACUAAUAGUAUUAGAAAUGUUAUGCUAACCUUGUCAGUCCUACCUUAGAUUAAAUCAUGUUUGCAGUGGUUUCCUAGGUUUGCAACCUGUAAUAAAACUGAAUUUCCACUAGAAUCUGAGGAAAAAAAUACAAUGCUAACAUCAAAGAAAAGGUAAUUUUUAUAUUCUCUUCAUCUUUAAUGUUUUAAUGUUUCCAAAUGCUGUAUUCCUAUAGAGGAAAACAUCAGGCUUAGUAUGUUUUUUAAGCUACAUUUAAUGAAUUCUUACAAUGAAUACAAAUACAACAUUUUUGCUAAAGCAUUAGAACUCUGAAAGACAUGAAUGAUUAUACCCAUUUUAGAAAUGAAGAAACUGAGGCUUAGAGAUAGAAUGUCUUAGAGAUUAUAAAUGAUAAGGCAGUGUAACUAGGCCAAGGUCAUCAGCUAGUAGUAACUGGUAGAGCUUCGAUUUGUAGGCAAGUAUUCUAAUUUUCAGAGCCCCGUUUCAUAGCCAAUCUGCUGUAUUUUCCAUCUUCAACUUUCUCUCUUCACCCACUGUAAACUUCUUAUCAAAUCAUUGUCUAACUUCCUUUCCUCUGGCUACCCACUACACUGAUCUUUGUUUAUAUGAUGAUGUAAAAAGUGCUUUACUCCCAUGUAAUUUUUAGCCAUCCUUCAAGGAUGUAUAAAUUGAGAUUAAAUCAUCUUUGGGUAACAGAAAACCCAACCAACAUUAGCUUAUAGAGAAAGCGAUUAAGAGCACAUAAUUUAGUAGCAGACUGCCUGUGUUCGAAGUCCAGCUUCUCUACUUACUAACUGACACACUUGGGUAAGUUACUCAAUCUUCUCAUGCCUCUAUUUCCUCAUCUUAAUAACUGGAAUAAUAAUAGUACUCAUUCUGACUGUUCUUAUGAAAACUAACUGUAAAUUCAUGUAAACUGCUUGGAAAAUGCUAAAAAAAAAAAAAAAAAAAGAAAACAUUUGCUGUUACCAAUAUUUAAACAAAUACAUGGGUUUGGUUUUCCCACAUAAAACAACAACAACAAAUUCAGAGGUAGACAGUCCCAGGGGUGCAGCCACACCAUGGUGCCAUCAAGGGAUCAGGUUCCUUUUGCCCUUCUGUCUGCCACUUUCAGCAUGUUGGUUUCAUUGUUAUAGUUACAAAAUGUAAGCUCCUCCUUUUGCAUUCCAGAAAGAAAAAAUAAAAAAGGCAAGGAGUGAAAUGAUUCUUCUUGUGGGCUUUUUUGUCUUUUAUCUGAGGACAUAAGGCUCCCUAAAGGACUUACUCCUACAGACCAUCAGCCAAAAUGGUGUCUUAUGGCUAUCUUUCCCUUCAGUGGAGGCUGGGAAUUUUAGAAAUUCAUGUACCAGCCUCUCUAAUGGAGGAAGACAGACAAUAUAACUUCAUUAAUCCCAGAGGAAACAAGGUGGGAAUGGUUAUCCAGUGAGGCAAUCUUUAGGAUCUACCCCAAAGACCCAGCUAAAAUCCUACAUGCUUUCCCUAAUUACCUACCAAGAAGACAUUAUUCAUACUAUUCAUUUCGAACUAAUUUAUGGUUGUCUUUGCCUAGAAACCAUAAUUUUACAUGGUUGUUUUCUUCUUAUCCUUCAGAUUCCAUUGUAAUGUCUCGUCCUCAGGAAGAAAAAGGAGAAACCUGAUUUAUGAAGAUUUUAUCUUAGCCCACCCCACUGAAAACACGUCU